rnacentral:rRNA from 1 species
GACGAACGCUGGCGGCGUGCUUAACACAUGCAAGUCGAACGGAAAGGCCCUGCUUUUGUGGGGUGCUCGAGUGGCGAACGGGUGAGUAACACGUGAGUAACCUGCCCUUGACUUUGGGAUAACUUCAGGAAACUGGGGCUACUACCGGAUAGGAGCUCCUGCAGCAUGGUGGGGGUUGGAAAGUUUCGGCGGUUGGGGAUGGACUCGCGGCUUAUCAGCUUGUUGGUGGGGUAGUGGCUUACCAAGGCUUUGACGGGUAGCCGGCCUGAGAGGGUGACCGGCCACAUUGGGACUACGGUACGGCCCAGACUCCUACGGGAGGCAGCAGUGGGGAAUAUUGCACAAUGGGCGGAAGCCUGAUGCAGCAACGCCGCGUGCGGGAUGACGGCCUUCGGGUUGUAAACCGCUUUCGCCUGUGACGAAGCGUGAGUGACGGUAAUGGGUAAAGAAGCACCGGCUAACUACGUG